GGGCUAAUAGUUUAUUAAAAAUAAAUUAUUGCAAGUAAUUAGAUGACUGUGUCUUAGCCUU
rnacentral:tRNA from 1 species